rnacentral:rRNA from 1 species
UCAAGUGACUAAGUGCAUGUGGCGGAUGCCUUGGCGAUCACAGGCGAAGAAAGACGCGGCAGCCUGCGAAAAGCUGCGGGGAGCUGGCAAACGAGCUUUGAUCCGCAGAUAUCUGAAUGGGGGAACCCACACCGCAAGGUGUAUCCGUGACUGAAUACAUAGGUUACGGAGGCGAACGAGGAGAACUGAAACAUCUAAGUAUCCUCAGGAAAAGAAAUCAACCGAGAUUCCGGCAGUAGCGGCGAGCGAACCCGGAGGAGCCUAGCUUUUGAUAGUACGAACUUUAGCCGAAAGGUUCUGGAAAGGCCUGCUAUAGAGGGUGAUAGCCCCGUAGGCGAAAGAGUUCGUAUGGUACUAAGGAAGCGAGAAGUAGAGCGGGACACGUGGAAUCCUGUUCGAAGAUGGGGGGACCAUCCUCCAAGGCUAAAUACUCGUGAUCGACCGAUAGUGAACCAGUACCGUGAGGGAAAGGCGAAAAGAACCCCGGGAGGGGAGUGAAAUAGAACCUGAAACCGCAUGCAUACAAACAGUAGGAGCCUCACCAGAGGUGACUGCGUACCUUUUGCAUAAUGGGUCAGCGACUUACAUUCUGUGGCGAGCUUAACCGAAUAGGGGAGGCGCAGCGAAAGCGAGUUCGAAAUGAGCGUCCAGUCGCAGGGUGUAGACCCGAAACCAGAUGAGCUAUCCAUGGCCAGGUUGAAGGUGUGGUAACACACACUGGAGGACCGAACCGACUAGUGUUGCAAAAUUAGCGGAUGAGCUGUGGAUAGGGGUGAAAGGCCAAACAAAUCUGGAGAUAGCUGGUUCUCCCCGAAAACUAUUGAGGUAGUGCCUCGUGUGUCGCUCCAGGGGGUAGAGCACUGUUUUGGCUAGGGGGACAUGGAGUCUUACCAAACCAAGGCAAACUCCGAAUACCUGGAAGCGUGAGCACGGGAGACAGAGCACCGGGUGCUAACGUCCGGACUCAAAAGGGAAACAACCCAGACCGCCGGCUAAGGUCCCCAAUAACAGCUAAGUGGAAAACGAAGUGGAAAGGCCGUGACAACCAGGAAGUUGGCUUAGAAGCAGCCAUCCUUCAAAGAAAGCGUAAUAGCUCACUGGUCGAGUCCUUCUGCGCGGAAGAUGUAACGGGGCUAAGCUGUUAACCGAAGCCGCGGAUGCACUGAUUAUUCAGUGCGUGGUAGGGGAGCGUUCUGUAAGUCUGCGAAGGCGGUUCGAGAGGACUGCUGGAGAUAUCAGAAGUGCGAAUGCUGACAUGAGUAACGUUAAAGCAGGUGAAAAGCCUGCUCGCCGUAAGCCCAAGGAUUCCUGCUCUACGUUCAUCGGAGCAGGGUGAGUCGGCUCCUAAGGUCAGGCCGAAAGGCGUAGCCGAUGGGAAUCAGGUUAAUAUUCCUGAACCUGCGUCAGAUGCGAUGGGGGGACGGAGCAUGAAAGAUCAUCCGGGUGUUGGAUGUCCCGGUUGACGAGCGUAGGAGGUCUGCAGGCAAAUCCGCAGACGCAUCUCCAAGGCGAAGACACGUGCCGCCACGGCGGCGAAGUGAUCGGAAGUGCUUCCAAGAAAAGCCUCUAAGCACCAGUCUGGCGCGGACCGUACCGCAAACCGACACUGGUGGGCGAGCUGAAUAUGCUCAGGCGCUUGAGAGAACUCGGGAGAAGGAACUCGGCAAAUUGACACCGUAACUUCGGAAGAAGGUGUGCCGUAGUACCGUGAGAGGAGAGACACCUUGAGCGGGAAUCGGUCUCAGAGAAUAGGUGGCUGCGACUGUUUAUUAAAAACACAGCACUCUGCAAAGUCGAAAGACGACGUAUAGGGUGUGAUGCCUGCCCGGUGCUGGAAGAUUAAUUGAUGGGGUGAGAGCCCUUGAUCGAAGUCCCAGUAAACGGCGGCCGUAACUAUAACGGUCCUAAGGUAGCGAAAUUCCUUGUC